CCAACAUAAAAAAAAACUAAAAACGUAGCUCUCUCUCCUCCUCGACUCCAUUGUUCCAACCUACUAGAGAAUCAUUCUCACCUUGUUAUCAAUUGUUUUCUUAUGAAAUCCUAAAUCGUGUUAACCAACUUAACCUUAAAUAACAUUAAAAUCAAAUCAAAACUGAAAUUAUUCUGAGUUUCCUCCUUUCUUCUUCUUCUUCUUCGACGAUAAUCUGGGUAAUGAUAAUAUGGUGUUACAAACCCUAGGUACUGAAAUAUCGUACGAUAUGGGAUUUCCUAAUUGCUGGAAUUGACUGCUAUGUGGAGUAGAUGAGGAAAGGAAAAAUAAAAUAAAAUAGAAGUAGGUCAAUAAAGUGGUGGUGGUGGUUAUUCUUAACUUCAUCAGAAAAAGAUGAACAUCCUAAAGAUUGAUAGGAACAGUUUUCUAGAAGGAUUACUGGUUUUGGUCGAAUCGGUGAUUGAGUGAGUGAGUUUGGAAAAUUGGUGGUUGAUCCAAAAACCAAUGAACUUCUGCACUUUACGGAGAAACCCGAGACGUUUGUAUGUACAAGGCCCAAAGUUCGCUGACUUUUUUGAUCAUAUUUAAGUGAUACAGUGUUUUAACGAUUCAAGUGCUAAUCUCCAACGUGUAUCCAGCUUUCUCUUCAGGUUGCAACAAACUAAUAUUGAACGUGUAUCCAGCUUUCUGUUCAGUCCGCAAAAAGUGAUUCCCUACUGAUUUUAUAAGCCUGGAUCAAGAUAUAAGUAAACUCCUAUUGCUGGGAAGAGAAAUAACUUUAUACUUUUGAGAGUAUAUUUCUGGGAACACAUCAAAACUCCUGAGUAGACCAAUCUGCAAGUAAAGGAAUGUUGCAUCAUCCAUCUUUUGAGAGUAAUGUCCAACAUUUGUUGGAAACUCUGUACUAGUCUUGAAUUUCUGUUAUGCUUAGGUUUUCUUUGUGUUGGUUCCAGUGAAAUUAUGACCUUGUAAUUCUUUUCUGAAUGAAUAAAUGAUGUUGGAAUGAUUGCAGCGUGAUAAUUUUAUUUCCAUGUCAAUCUGAAUGAAUAAAUGAUGUUG